rnacentral:rRNA from 1 species
UACAGAGGGUGCGAGCGUUAAUCGGAAUUACUGGGCGUAAAGCGAGCGUAGUCGGUUAUUUAAGUCGGGUGUGAAAUCCCCGGACUCAACCUGGGAAUUGCAUUCGAUACUGGAUAGCUAGAGUUCGGCAGAGGGAAGCGGAAUUUCCGGUGUAGCGGUGAAAUGCGUAGAUAUCGGAAGGAACAUCAGUGGCGAAAGCGGCUUCCUGGACCAGAACUGACGAUCAGGCUCGAAAGCGUGGGGAGCAAACAGG